rnacentral:pre_miRNA from 1 species
AAUGCAAAUGAAUUCAAAACUGCCUUUUCUUUGAGUAGCUGUCCGCAGACAGGUGGAGCUGCCAAAUAAAGGGUGAUUUGGAAUUCAUUCAUCGUAA